rnacentral:lncRNA from 1 species
GUCCUGUCUUCACUAUUCUACGGGCCCCGCCUGCAUGCUCGAGCGUGGGUUGUUGGGGUGCCCCUCCCCGGCCAGCACACCCGGCUGGUUGUCGGGAGGCAUUCCUUCAGCUUCCCGGCACCGGGGUUCCCGGGGGCUUCUUGUACUCAGCCCUUAGAUUCUCCCCCACCAAGGGCCGUUUCCACGAGGCAAGCUCCCCGGACUCAUCGCUUCCCGGGAGGCCUUCCUGACGGGGCUUCGUCACUGGCGACCCACGCGUCCCGUAUCAGUGGGACCCCGCGGGCCACUGGUACGACAAUUUUGGGCCUAUCUGAAAAGUUACUGUUCAUUUUUUUUUGUUUUUUUCCCUUCAUUUAUCCAAAGGGGGACCCACAGUGACUUGUCUUCCAACUCACUUUUUUCAGUGUUUCUUGCAUUAUUAUUUUCAGUGUUUAUUGUAUCAUUAUUUUCAGUGUUUCAUGCAUUAUUAUUUUCAGUGUUUAUUGCAUUAUUAUUUUCAUUUUUUUGCAUUAUUAUUUUCAGUGUUUUUGCAUUAUUAUUUUCAGUGUACCGAUCAACGAUUCUUGCGGGUCAUUUCUGUUCCAUAAUUAAUGUAACGAAAAAAACUCGAAUGGAUAUUGAAAACACACACACACACACACGCAUACAUACAUACAUAUCUAUACAUACAUACAUAUCUAUAUAUAUAUAUAUAUAUAUAUAUAUAUAUAUACCUACAAGCUAAACAGGAAUCG